ensembl:snRNA U6 U6 spliceosomal RNA
GUGCUCGCUUCUGCACCACACAUGCUAAAAUUUGAACCAUAAAGAGAAGAUUAGCAUGGCCCCUGCGCAAGGAUGACAAGCAAAUUCAUGAAAUAUUCCGUAUUUUU